rnacentral:rRNA from 1 species
GAUGAACGCUGGCGGCGUGCCUAAUACAUGCCAGUCGAGCGAACAGAUAAGGAGCUUGCUCCUUUGACGUUAGCGGCGGACGGGUGAGUAACACGUGGGUAACCUACCUAUAAGACUGGAAUAACUCCGGGAAACCGGAGCUAAUGCCGGAUAACAUUUAGAACCGCAUGGUUCUAUAGUGAAAGAUGGUUUUGCUAUCACUUAUAGAUGGAUCCGCGCCGCAUUAGCUAGUUGGUAAGGUAACGGCUUACCAAGGCAACGAUACGUAGCCGACCUGAGAGGGUGAUCGGCCACACUGGAACUGAGACACGGUCCAGACUCCUACGGGAGGCAGCAGUAGGGAAUCUUCCGCAAUGGGCGAAAGCCUGACGGAGCAACGCCGCGUGAGUGAUGAAGGUCUUCGGAUCGUAAAACUCUGUUAUUAGGGAAGAACAAAUGUGUAAGUAACUGUGCACGUCUUGACGGUACCUAAUCAGAAAGCCACGGCUAACUACGUG